rnacentral:rRNA from 1 species
CAUGUAGGCGGCAUGACAAGUCUGGUGUGAAACAUCUCGGCUCAACCGAGAAAACGCACUGGAAACUGUCAAGCUUGAGUAUCGGAGGGGAAGCUAGAAUUCCUGGUGUAGGGGUGAAAUCUGUAGAUAUCAGGAAGAAUACCGGUGGCGAAGGCGAGCUUCUGGCCAGAUACUGACGCUGAGAUGCGAAAGCGUGGGGAGCGAACAGGAUUAGAUACCCUGGUAGUCC